GACAGGCCCUGCUCCAAAGAACAUGCACUUCAAAAGACCAAACGUAACAAUUUGAUGAAGCAAACAUAGACAAGGUAAUACAAAUAAUGAAGUGUUUCAGUACAGAAUCGCUGUGUCCCUCGUUUGCGGUCAAGCAGCAGCACUAAUCACAAUGCACUCUCUGCCUCACUGCAGCUUUAAAAUUGUACCCAGCUGAAUAGAUACGAAGGCCUGCCCUGCAGAGCAAUAAGUGACGUAACCCCAGCAGGGGCUUUUGAAUGGGAGAGAACAAAAAAAUGGUCAUUCACAGAGGGCCAGGGAAGAGUCCAAGCCUGGGAUUGGCUGAGAAGACUUAUUUAAAAGGGGGAGUGGUUAUCCUGGGGGGAAGAAACAAAAAAACAAAACAUAAAAAAGGGAGGAGAACAGAGGGCAUGCAGGCUAGGGAAAAGGCCUUGCCACAGGCCGUCCCUUGGACAGCCCUUGUUGGAGCAAGAGGCUUGUGAGGAGCUGAGGCCCCCUGGACUGAGGGAGCAGCCUGGCCAGCUAGAAGGACAGAGAAGCCCAGCUGUCCUGCCUCUCUUCCAUCCGUCCCCCUUUGGAGCCCUGUUGGGAUGGGCCCAGAAGAGCAUCUGCCCAUCAGAAGACCCCAAGCUGGGGAGGACCUCCUUCAAGCCCUGGUGUGGUGAGUAUUGGUGUAAGGGGUCCCAAUCAUCAUGACCACGGCAGAGCUUCUGCAUUGGUGCACAGAGCUGCAAGCGAGCCCAGAGAGGGCACUUAUGAUUACCAAAAUCUCGGUGUGUGAACUGCCAACUGCAGUGGAUGCCUUACGUAUUCCCCAGAUGCUAGAGGUCGCAGAUGAGGAAGUCUGGGCUAUAACUCUAGUGGACAGGGGAGCUGUGCCCCACCCAGACUCUAGGGCCAGCUCUGAAUCCUCCCCGGGGGAGCUGAAGGCUCUGCGCCAGCCGCCCCAUCUGGGAGUGGAGUAGGCUCCAGAACACAGGACCUGGAGUGGGCAAAGGCAUUGGGAAAAGCCCUGAAGGAGGCCCUGCAGCCAUCAGCCGAGUCAUUUGACUACAAGAGUCUCCACAUAUUUUCAGGGAAGGACCCACUCCCUCCAGGGGAAAUGGCUUUCGAGGCAUGGCAUUCCCAUGUGACGGAGACUUUGGCCUCAUGGGCAGUCUCAGAAGAGGAGAAGAGAAGGCGAUUGCUGGAGAGUCUCCGAGGCCCGGCUUUUGAAAUGGUUUGAAUAAUUAAGAAGGAAAACACCAACAUAUCGGUUCUUCAGUGUCUUGAACUCUUGUGUUGCGUUUUUGGGAAAGUUAGCAUUUUGGGGAAAUCUAGCAUUUUUGGGAAAUCAGUGCAAACUCAGGCUUUGUUUCUUGAAUUUAAUAGGACAUACCAACUAAAAGGAGAAAGUGCUUCAGCUUACGCCCUGCGGUUAGGGAAAGUACUACAGCAGCUACUGGCCCAAGGUGGACUCACUCAGGACAUGGCUGGCAAGGCUCUUUUGCAGCAGCUCUGGGUAGGGAUACUUUAUGAUGAGCAACUGUUAAGUGAUCUCAACCUCCUCAGGACAAGAGAGGAUCCCCCUACAUUUGUGCAGUUGCUUCGGGAAAUCAGGGAGGCUGAAAGCUGCCCUAAAGGCAUCUAUCAAAGCUGAAACACAGGUGCAAGCCAGGGUCCUUGCCCCUGGGAAGGGUCCCUGAGGCCACCAUGGACCGAGGGCAUACCAGCACCCUGCCUCAUGCACCCCGCUGGAGGGGGGCUGUGGGUCUUGGCAUCCCACCUCCAGACUGUUGACCCUUAAGAGACAGCCUCAGAGUGAAGACUGCAUCCUGACCAGAUGUAUAUGACUCUGAUGACAGCCCUAAGAUGGGUAGAUCUAGAAUUGCCUGGUUGUUUGUAUUGCUGCUUUUUUGUUAUCACUGUAUCAAUAAAUGUGCCUAUUAUCGAAUGGAAA